rnacentral:rRNA from 1 species
UACGUAGGGUGCGAGCGUUUAAUCGGGAAUUACUGGGCGUAAAGCGUGCGCAGGCGGUUCGUUGUGUCGGCGGUGAAAGCCCCGGGCUUAACCUGGGAAUGGCCGUUGAAACUGGCGAACUGGAGUGUGGCAGAGGGGGGUGGAAUUCCGCGUGUAGCAGUGAAAUGCGUAGAGAUGCGGAGGAACACCGAUGGCGAAGGCAGCCCCCUGGGCUAACACUGACGCUCAGGCACGAAAGCGUGGGGAGCAAACAGG